CAGAGGGUGCAAGCGUUGCUCGGAAUCAUUGGGCGUAAAGGGUAGGUAGGUGGUCUCGUUUGUCUGGGGUGAAAGCCCAGGGCUUAACCCUGGAAGUGCCCCAGAAACGGCGAGACUAGAGUCUUGGAGAGGGUCGUGGAAUUCCCGGUGUAGCGGUGAAAUGCGUAGAGAUCGGGAGGAACACCAGAGGCGAAGGCGGCGACCUGGACAAGUACUGACACUCAACUGCGAAAGCGUGGGGAGCAAACAGGAUUAGAUACCCUGGUAGUCCACGCUGUAAACGAUGGGUACUAGGUUUGAUGGGUCUUGACCCCGUCGAACCGGCGCUAACGCAAUAAGUACCCCGCCUGGGAAGUACGGUCGCAAGACUA
rnacentral:rRNA from 1 species